rnacentral:rRNA from 1 species
CCAAACUGUUGCCUCGGCGGGAUCUCUGCCCCGGGUGCGUCGCAGCCCCGGACCAAGGCGCCCGCCGGAGGACCAACCAAAACUCUUUUUGUAUACCCCCUCGCGGGUUUUUUUUAUAAUCUGAGCCUUCUCGGCGCCUCUCGUAGGCGUUUCGAAAAUGAAUCAAAACUUUCAACAACGGAUCUCUUGGUUCUGGCAUCGAUGAAGAACGCAGCGAAAUGCGAUAAGUAAUGUGAAUUGCAGAAUUCAGUGAAUCAUCGAAUCUUUGAACGCACAUUGCGCCCGCCAGUAUUCUGGCGGGCAUGCCUGUCCGAGCGUCAUUUCAACCCUCGAACCCCUCCGGGGGGUCGGCGUUGGGGAUCGGCCCUGCCUCUUGGCGGUGGCCGUCUCCGAAAUACAGUGGCGGUCUCGCCGCAGCCUCUCCUGCGCAGUAGUUUGCACACUCGCAUCGGGAGCGCGGCGCGUCCACAGCCGUUAAACACCCAACUUCUGAAAUGUUGACCUCGGAUCAGGUAGGAAUACCCGCUGAACUUAAGCAUAUCAAUAGCCCGGAGGAA